rnacentral:rRNA from 1 species
GUGUCAGCCGCCGCGGUAAUACGUAGGGUGCGAGCGUUGUCCGGAAUUACUGGGCGUAAAGAGCUUGUAGGCGGUCUGUCACGUCUUCUGUGAAAACUUGGGGCUCAACCUUAAGCUUGCAGGGGAUACGGGCAGACUAGAGUACUUCAGGGGAGACUGGAAUUCCUGGUGUAGCGGUGAAAUGCGCAGAUAUCAGGAGGAACACCGGUGGCGAAGGCGGGUCUCUGGGAAGUAACUGACGCUGAGAAGCGAAAGCGUGGGUAGCGAACAGGAUUAGAUACCCUCGUAGUCC